GAGUUUGAUCAUGGCUCAGAACGAACGCUGGCGGCAGGCCUAACACAUGCAAGUCGAACGCCCAGCAAUGGGAGUGGCGCACGGGUGCGUAACGCGUGGGAAUAUGCCCUUGACUACGGGACAACGUUUGGAAACGAACGCUAAUACCGUAUAAUGACUCCGGUCCAAAGAUUUAUCGGUCAAGGAUUAGCCCGCGUCAGAUUAGCUAGUUGAUGAGGUAACGGCUCACCAAGGCGACGAUCUGUAGCUGGUCUGAGAGGAUGAUCAGCCACACUGGAACUGAGACACGGUCCAGACUCCUACGGGAGGCAGCAGUGAGGAAUAUUGGACAAUGGGCGCAAGCCUGAUCCAGCCAUGCCGCGUGAGUGACGAAGGCCUUCGGUUGUAAGCUCUUUAGUAUGUGAAGAUAAUAGACGGUAGCAUCAGAAAAAGACCCCGG
rnacentral:rRNA from 1 species